rfam:Triticum aestivum genome assembly, contig: Triticum_aestivum_CS42_TGACv1_scaffold_289198_4AL
UAAGUACUCCCUCCGUUCCAUAUUAGUUGUCGCUCAAAUGGAUGUAUCUACUGAAAUACGUCUGCUAGAUACAUCCGUUUCAGCGACAACUAAUAUGGAACGGAGGGAGUACUAU